GCUAUGCAACAAUGAUAUGCAAAUAAGAUGUGCAUAUUAGAAUAGAGUAGGAAGGAAAAUAUCAAAGUGGUAACAAGCUUGUUAAGGUAGUGUGGCGAGCUAAAUAAUUACCUCCCCGAUGCCUACUUCCUAACCGCCAGCCUAUGAAUAGUGCUCUGUGUGGCAAGGAUAACCUUUUUUUUUUUCUGCAAUGCACAGAACUGAAAUCAGUGCCUCAAGCAUAGGAAGCUAUCUUAGCUCUAACGAGCUACACCCACGGCCCCAGUAUCAAACACCGCAAAGACCUACGCCCGAUAUUCACACACUGGCGGUGCAGGCAGCGUCAUUUGGAGGCCCCACAGAGAUCAGGGAAGAGAGGACAACCUGACAGGAUCAUUCCAAAACGCCGGCCGGCAAGGAAGCGGGACGUAUUAGGGACAAGCAGCAACCACUUGACAAAUCUAGAAGUCCUGAGUUCCAAUUCCACACGGUGGCUCACAACCAUCUGUAAUGGGAUCUGAUGCCCUCUUCUGGUGAGUCUGAAGAUAGCUACAGUGAACUCAUAUACAUAAAAUAAAUAAGUCU